rnacentral:rRNA from 1 species
UACGGAGGGUGCGAGCGUUGUCCGGAAUCACUGGGCGUAAAGGGCGCGUAGGCGGCCUGAUAAGUAGGGGGUGAAAUCCUGCGGCUUAACCGCAGGGCUGCCUUCUAAACUGUCAGGCUUGAGCACAGUAGAGGCAGGUGGAAUUCCCGGUGUAGCGGUGGAAUGCGUAGAGAUCGGGAAGAACAUCAGUGGCGAAGGCGGCCUGCUGGGCUGUUGCUGACGCUGAGGCGCGACAGCGUGGGGAGCGAACAGG